rnacentral:ncRNA from 1 species
GUGCAGCACUACGGGCGCUUGUGUGGACAUUCCUCGCAUUCAUCCACCUGAUCCUUCUCCAAAGAGACCAGAGAUGAACGAGUUUCAAUGUCGGACACAAUGCUGAGAUUGUACCGUUAUGACUCGAUCAAGUUAAUGCUUGCGUGGGAAACGUGCUGCCGCUUCUCC